CGGGAUAGUCAAGCUUCAUCGUCCCAUCCUAUCCCGCCUAGGCGGCCACUGGGGCCGCCACCGCCACCGUCGUUGUCUCCCCCCAGCGCUCCUACCGGCGACCCUGCUCCUCCGCCUCGGCUACUGGGGCCGCCACCGCCGCCGUCUCCCCCAGCCGCUACUACCGGCUACCCUGCUCCUCCGCCUCGGCUACUGGGGCCGCCGCCGUCGCCUCCCCAGGGUCCCCGAGAUCCUGGCUACAGACUACGUCGGCACCAAGGAGCGACAGUUCUCGAUCUAGCUCGCGUGCCGGAAAACCUUUUAACCUGCUUACCCGCAGGUUCUCUGUGAGGAACGGCCUAGUGCGACGACGACCGUAUUAGGUCCGGCCUAGACACCUCUCGGGCCGCGUCGUGGCAGAUGUCCAUAAACCGUUACAACCGAGAACCCGACGGGUUAACUAUUGAUUUCGACCACCGUUCCACCAGAGGUAGUCUCUACAGUGUCCCCGACAGUUCUUGAGGUUACCGCAACUGUAUCGGUUCGACUACUUCGUGAGCCGUUUCUUGGCGCCCUAGUUCCCGAGGCUGUUUUCCGCUGCGGCAGCUGGGCUGGAGUGACGAGUGCCUUCUCACGCUGUACGAGUAGGGCCGUCGAGACCGUCCUCAGUAUUUGUUCCUGUUACAACUACGGUAGUUUCGUUUCAUGUAGUAGCUUCGACGAUUGGUGGGUUGUCUGGGGUUCCGGCUUCUCUAAGACCGUUUCUUCCCGCACGACUAGGAUGGCCUGUAUGACCGGUUGAGGCCGUCUCACUACCACUCGAUGAAGCUCACCCACGUCUUAGAGGUCCCCAAGUACACCCUGCUCCUCUUCCACUUAGCCCUCGAGUUCUGCAUGUACUGGGCGCGGAGUUUGUACAAGACUAAUAAAUCCGUCACAUACCACGGUAUAUUUUACCUGUUAUUAAUACAUAUCAUAUAGAAACUUUUGGUCUUAACCGAGUUAAACCUUGUUACGGACGAAAUAUACUUAAAGAACGGGCGAAACGUGCGCAACGAUAUUCACGUAAUGGUAUGGAGUCGGUAUUAGUAGGAACUGUUUAUACCGUUAGUGGAAAUCAUACCUUGUCUUCUUCGUACGUGUUGGAUAAAACAGUUACUCGUUCAAAUCGUAUACAAACAUGUAACGACUAGAUCAAUCAUUCGUCUUGAGACAAUAUCAUUUUGAUCGAUCUCCUAGUGGCGUGGUGUGCAACAGUGUUGAAGUCAAAGACCUUACCAUACCAACUACCGUGAUCGGGGAGGAGUUCUACCUCCAGUACCCAAACGUCCCCCGUAUGACCUCUAAAAGUCUAAAUUAACAAACUUACAUAGAAAUAAAGUAAAGUCUAACACAGUUCAGAACACAUGAUGAGGGAGACGAGGUAGCCA
rnacentral:rRNA from 1 species